CCUACGGGGGGCAGCAGUGAGGAAUAUUGGUCAAUGGGCGAGAGCCUGAACCAGCCAAGUCGCGUGAAGGAUGAAGGAUCUAUGGGUUGUAAACUUCUUUUAUAAAGGAAUAAAGCGAGGAACGUGUGCCUUGUUGUAUGUACCAUAUGAAUAAGGAUCGGCUAACUCCGUGCCAGCAGCCGCGGUAAGACGGAGGAUGCGAGCGUUAUCCGGAUUUAUUGGGUUUACAGGGUGCGUAGGUGGGUACUUAAGUCAGCGGUGAAAGUUUGUGGCUCAACCCUAAAAUUGCAGUUGAAACGGGUUGUCUUGAGUACAUUUGAGGUCGGCGGACUUCGUGGUGUAGCGG
rnacentral:rRNA from 1 species